GUAGGAGAGCAUGCCCAGUAGCAGGAACAACUUGUCUGAGGAUGUUUUCACACAUCGCACUAAAAGCGCCUGCGAGUCUCUCAUGCCCUAUUUUUGUACACUUAUGAAUGCUAUUAACAGGGCAGUGAAAAGUGAACAGUGUCAUAUUUAAACCAAACGUGCAUUCGAGCCUACUAGAUGCCAAUUCAAAAAGAAAUUUUUAAAAAUCAUGGUGUGUCACUUCCCUGCUAUUUCUUGCAAAACCCAACCUGGCAGUGUUUUGUUUUUGGACAUGAAUUUGGAUUGUGGGUGUCUCUAUGAGCAUGUUCAUGUUUUCUAGGAAUUUGCAAAGGUGUAAUGUUGUUAUCUUUUAAAAAGUCAGCUGCUUAGAGACCUUUUAGGUGACAAGUGCCUAAUACAUCUGCAGAAGAAGAGGAACAGAUUUUCCGGUGGAAAAUGAGGUGCCAGUACUCAUAUAAUGACCACUGGACUGUGGUGCUGGCACAAAAUGUUUAUCCUGGGCUGUGAAAAAAAGUUUGUGCAUACUCCGUACCGAGAGGAACCACUUGACCACGGCUUUAUGCCAAGCCUUUUUUGAUCGACAACAGGCUUGAAGUAUGGAAUAUGCAUGUAUCUGUAACUGCCUUGGGGAUAGAAGGCAGAAGAGUAUGCGAAGGAAGAUGUCUGACUAUGCUUGCAGAAAUAUGAGGGCCAAACAGAGGAAUUCAGAAAUAAUUAGCUGUGGACGCCCGGGGUGUUCUCAGUUGGAGUAGCUGACAAGGUCAAAAUGAGAAAAACACUGGAGCUAAAAGCAGAGUCUCCACCAUCUCAGAGGACUGAUGGAUGGAUGGCUCAGCUUCUUUUAUGGAUGGUUGUGCAGCUACAAGGCCAGUGCCGGAUUUUAUGUAUAAGCUAAACAAGCUAUAGCUUAGGGCCCCACUCUCUUGGGGGCCCCAAAAAAAUUUAAAGGGAAAAAAACUGAAUGUACAUUUCCAAAAUAUGAGAUAAAAAACAAAUAAAAUAAAAC